rnacentral:rRNA from 1 species
CCUGGCUCAGGAUGAACGCUAGCGGCAGGCUUAACACAUGCAAGUCGAGGGGCAUCGGGAGUAGCAAUACUGCCGGCGACCGGCGCAAGGGUGCGUAACGCGUGAGCAACACGCCCGUAUCAGGGGGAUAAUCCAUGGAAACGUGGUCUAAUACCCCAUAGUAAUUAUGUAAGGCAUCUUAUAUAAUUUAAAGCUUUGGUGGAUACGGAUUGGCUCGCGUGACAUUAGCUGGAUGGUAAGGUAACGGCUUACCAUGGCUACGAUGUCUAGGGGUUCUGAGAGGAAGGUCCCCCCACACUGGAACUGAGACACGGUCCAGACUCCUACGGGAGGCAGCAGUGAGGAAUAUUGGACAAUGGAUGGAAAUCUGAUCCAGCCAUGCCGCGUGCAGGGAAAGACGGCCCUAUGGGUUGUAAACUGCUUUGUAUGGGAGCAAUAAGGGCUACGUGUAGUCCGAUGAGAGUACCAUACGAAUAAGCACCGGCUAACUCCGUGCCAGCAGCAGC